GUCCAAGCCAAGUUCUGAAUCUGAGAGCGGGACACCAGCCCGAAGCCAAAGCCUCAGAAUACGAAGUGCCCUGCCUUCCAUCCCAGCCCACCCAGACAAGCAACUGAACAAAGUGGAAUAUGGGCUAGUGUUGAGAAGCCAUUCUCAAACCUCCACCAGGGGCUUGCUACAUGACUGGGGACUCCAUGCAAGAAAAUGUGGGGCUCCUCAUUCACAAAAUAGAAAAAGGUAUAAUUAAAGGUAUUAAAAUGUAAAGCAUU
rnacentral:lncRNA from 1 species